rnacentral:misc_RNA from 1 species
GAAAAAUGUGUUGCGAAGGCGACUGCCGGCCGCUGGGGUGGCUGCUGGGCCUCCCCUUCGCCUUCCUCGCCCUCAUCGUCUCCAUCGUCGGCGUUAUUAUCUGGAUCGUCGGAUUGUUGCUGUCGUGCAUCUGCCCGUGUUGUUUAUGUGUGACGAUCGUGGUGGAGCUGGCGAUCGAGCUCAUCAAGGCGCCGAUACACGUCAUGGAGUGGUUCACCAAACAGAUUCCGUGCUAGAGCUAGUAAUUCCCUUUCUUCUCCUCUUCAAUUUUAGGGUUUGUGUUUAUGUUUUUUUAGCUAUGUAAUUGACUUUGU